GAUGAACGCUGGCGGCGUGCCUAAUACAUGCAAGUCGAGCGAACCGACGAGAAGCUUGCUUUUCUGAUGUUAGCGGCGGACGGGUGAGUAACACGUGGAUAACCUACCUAUAAGACUGGGAUAACUUCGGGAAACCGGAGCUAAUACCGGAUAAUAUUUUGAACCGCAUGGUUCAAAAGUGAAAGACGGUCUUGCUGUCACUUAUAGAUGGAUCCGCGCUGCAUUAGCUAGUUGGUAAGGUAACGGCUUACCAAGGCAACGAUGCAUAGCCGACCUGAGAGGGUGAUCGGCCACACUGGAACUGAGACACGGUCCAGACUCCUACGGGAGGCAGCAGUAGGGAAUCUUCCGCAAUGGGCGAAAGCAUGACGGAGCAACGCCGCGUGAGUGAUGAAGGUCUUCGGAUCGUAAAACUCUGUUAUUAGGGAAGAACAUAUGUGUAAGUAACUGUGCACAUCUUGACGGUACCUAAUCAGAAAGCCACGGCUAACUACGUG
rnacentral:rRNA from 1 species